UAAUAUGGUGGCGCAGUAUUCUAGUCAGUUCAUUUGUCUUUUAAGAUGGGCCUAAAAAUCCAUUAAAGGGCAUAUCGAUGAAGUUCCUGGUGUUUGCUUCUUACGCCCAGUUUGGGGUUGAUGCUGGGAGUUAAGGACUUAGGGCGAUCCGUAACGGCAUACGGGCGUUGACCCUUUUUCCGUGGAGACCCGUCUAUGUGAGCAACGACGGGGCGGCGGAGAUGAUUUUUUGUUUUUCCGCCGACCCCUAUGUGCCUCUCGGUGCUUUUGACAACGCUUGUGCAAAGCUGCUUACGAGCCGGGAUAAAACCUGUUUUGCGGUGUAGGUAACAAUAUGCUGUGAACAGUGUAGCCUGCCUUGAGUGAAUGUGGUGGAAAAUUGUUCAUGCAGCCGUGCAACGGCCAUUGCGCGGUCGUAAUCGCUUUAUAAACCAUGUUUGCAAAAGAGGCUAAGGGACAAAAUGACUGUGAGGAAAACUCCUAGACUGUUUUAUAUGAGGGAUUGCAGUACGGACUAAGUGGCUAUUCGGCGAUACUCUCGGCAACGAAGUAUGCAGAAUUUUAAAAGGGAACUGCCGACUCGGCGACGAAUCGGUGAUUUUGUGGGAAAGCCUGCCGAACCUAAGCCGUAAAUUUUACUUCAUGUAUUGCCACCAUUAACUUUU
rnacentral:sRNA from 1 species